GACGUAGGGGGCUAGCGUUGUCCGGAAUUACUGGGCGUAAAGGGCGUGUAGGCGGCCAGGCAAGUCAGUGGUGAAACACCUGGGCUUAACCGAGGUAUUGCCAUUGAAACUGUCUGGCUUGAGGAUAGAAGAGGAGUGUGGAAUUCCUGGUGUAGCGGUGAAAUGCGUAGAGAUCGGGAGGAACACCAGUGGCGAAGGCGGCACUCUGGUCUAUACCUGACGCUGAGGCGCGAAAGCUAGGGAAGCAAACAGGAUUAGAUACCCUGGUAGU
rnacentral:rRNA from 1 species